CACGUCAUCCCCACCUUCCUCCAGCUUAUCGCUGGCGGUCUCCUGCGAGUUCCGCCUUUCGGCAUGGCAACACAGGACAAGGGUUGCGCUCGUUGCGGGACUUAACCCAACAUCUCACGACACGAGCUGACGACAGCCAUGCAGCACCUCGACUAGACCCCCUUGCGGAGUAACCGUGUUUCCACGAUCGUUGACUAGCCGUUCGAGCCCAGGUAAGGUUCUUCGCGUUGCGUCGAAUUGAACCACAUGCUCCACCGCUUGUGCGGGCCCCCGUCAAUUCCUUUGAGUUUCAGCCUUGCGACUGUACUCCCCAGGCGGCAUAUUUAACGCGUUAGCUCCGGCACAGAUCAACUGAAUGACCUACACCAAAUAUGCAUCGUUUAGGGCGUGGACUACCAGG
rnacentral:misc_RNA from 1 species